rnacentral:rRNA from 1 species
GACGGAGGAUGCAAGUGUUAUCCGGAAUCACUGGGCGUAAAGCGUCUGUAGGUGGUCAAAUAAGUCAACUGUUAAAUCUUGAGGCUCAACCUCAAAAUCGCAGUCGAAACUAUUAGACUAGAGUAUAGUAGGGGUAAAGGGAAUUUCCAGUGGAGCGGUGAAAUGCGUAGAUAUCGGAAGGAACAUCAGUGGCGAAAGCGGCUUCCUGGUCCAGCACCGACGUUCAGGCACGAAAGCGUGGGGAGCAAACAGG